UACAGAGGGUGCGAGCGUUGUUCGGAAUUAUUGGGCGUAAAGGGCGCGUAGGCGGCGCCACAAGUCACCUGUGAAAACUCUGGGCUCAACCCAGAGCCUGCAGGCGAAACUGUGGUGCUGGAGUAUGGGAGAGGUGCGUGGAAUUCCCGGUGUAGCGGUGAAAUGCGUAGAUAGUCGGGAGGAACGACCUGUGGCGAAAGCGGCGCACUGGACCAUAAACUGACGCUGGAGGCGACGAAAGCUAGGGGAGCAAACAGG
rnacentral:rRNA from 1 species